GAAAUGCGAUAAGUAAUGUGAAUUGCAGAAUUCAGUGAAUCAUCGAAUCUUUGAACGCACCUUGCGCCUUUUGGUAUUCCGAAAGGCAUGCCUGUUUGAGUGUCAUGAAAUCUCAAUCCCCCUGGGUUUAUGAUCUGGGUCGGACUUGGAUAUGGGCGUCUGCCGGUCACACGGCUCGCCUCAAAUGACUUAGUGGAUCUCUCUGCAUCCGUGACAGACGUAAUAAGUUUCGUCUUGUCCCUUGCUUAUGAGUCUGCUCAUAACCUGCCAUCGCGCACUUUAGACUCUGACCUCAAAUCAGGUAGGACUACCCGCUGAACUUAA
rnacentral:misc_RNA from 1 species